CACCUGCUCUUUUAAUCGUUCUCUUAUUAAUUUUGUUUGAUAAUCCGUACUAUUCUUCUUCUUUACCAUUCCUUCUUCUGCAACCAUUCUCACUCUUCCUUUUCUUCAUUCCCUCUUGUGAGCAAAACACACGCGCUCUUUCUUUCUUUCUUUUUCUCUCUCUCUGGGGAGCCCAACUCAUUCUCAAUCAGCGGGAGAAGAAGAAAGCCAUGACCCAUCUUCGAUUUUCAGCAGCUUCAUGUAAAACUCGCAUUCCUAUAUGCAUCUCUUCCCAUGUAGUCAAGAUUUCACCUCAUUUUCGCCUUACCCCAAUGGGGUUUUUCUCUCUCUCCACAAAAAAUCAUAGUCAUGGAUUCUCUGGUUUUGUUCUCAAGACCAGCAACCAGAAAUGGCUACAAAUUGGGUUGAGUUCUAUGAAAUUCAAGUCACUAUUAGCUUCGAAACGCAGCAAUGGAGGAGAACCAGGGACCAUCAUUUCUGGGUUCUCGGGGUCACUCCUGGACUUGGAUGGAAUGAACCCAGAGCUUUAUGAAGCCAUUGAAGAGCUCGAACGCAUGGACAGAGAACCAUCAGACAUUCUGGAAGAGAUGAGUAUGAAACUCUCGGCUCGGGACCUGCAACUUGUCCUAGUUUACUUCUCUCAAGAAGGUAGAGAUUCAUGGUGUGCCCUCGAAGUUUUUGAUUGGCUUCGUAGAGUUAAUAGGGUGGAUAAGGAGACCAUGGAGCUAAUGGUCUCUAUUAUGUGCCUCUGGCUUGCUAAGCUCAUUGAUGGGGAUCACCCAAUUGAUCAGCUGCUUGACCUCCUCCAGGAAAUGGACUGUGUUGGAUUGAAACCAGAGUUCUCCAUGAUUGAGAAGGUCAUCUCUCUCUAUUGGGAUGGAGGUAAAAAAGACCAGGCGUGUUCUUUUCUUGAACUGGUUAUUCAACGUGGUUUAGCAAAACCCCAAGACCAGAACGAGCAGGGGCCUACUGGGUAUCUAGCUUGGAAGAUGAUGGUUGAUGGAGAUUACAGAGGAGCUGUAAAUUUGGUUAUUGAGCUCACUGAGAAAGGGCUUGAACCAGAGCUCUAUAGCUAUGUAAUUGCCAUGACUGCGCUUGUGAAGGAACAGAACGAGUUCUCGAAGGCUCUUCGAAAGCUUAAGACCUCACAAAAAAAAGGAUUGAUAGCCCAAUUUGGUGAAGAAGAGUUGUACUCUCUUGAGAAUUACCAGUUGGGUCUUCUUAGCGAUGGUGAAAAAAUCUCUAAUAGGGUCAUUAAUGGCCAAAACGUACGUUUUAUAGGAGUAAUUCAUGAGAAACUUUUGGCCUUGUAUAGUUGUGCAGGAAGGGGAGCUCAAGCUGAGCACCAUUUAUGGCAGAUGAAGCUUGCUGGUAAGGAGCCUGAUAGGGAGAUGUAUGCUAUUGUCAUGGCCAUUUGUGCCUCUGAGAAUAACAAAGCAGCUGUUUUGCGGUUAAUGGCAGGCUUGGAAUCUCUAGGGUUCUCACCAAGAAAGAAGACUUCGACUUGGCUUUUAAGGGGGUAUUUGAAAGGAGGCCACUUUGUGGAUGCUUCAAAUACUUUGAUGAAUAUGCUCAAUAAAGGUUUUCGCCCUGAGAAUGUUGACAUAGCAGUGGUUUUGCAGCGUUUGAGGAAGAGUAUACACGACCCUGGUAAUGUCGAGCUCUAUCUCAAGCUAUGCAAGCGUCUAUCUGAAGCUGAUCUCAUUGUGCCGUGUCUUGUUUAUUUGUAUGUACCUGAAUUGAAACUUUGGAUUAUGAAGAUACUUUGAAUCUUUCAAUAUAGAGAGAGCUUUGUGAGCAAGUUUGAGCAGCCAACAGUGGAUGAAAUUACUAGGUCGAAGGGUUCUGGACCAUGACUGCGAGGCCACCUAGUCAUGUAGAGCUUCUUGAUAGGUGUUUUCUCUAUAAACUGUACAGUGAAAGAUAGUUGAAUAUCAAACUAUACAAUAGGAGAGAAGAAUAGUGUUUGGUGAAUGAAGAAGCCCAAAACCUGGCUUUCCCCUUUUCGGGUUUCUUGUGAUGUGGUGUUAUCUAAAAUUCACCAGUAUUUUGGGCAGUUGUUCAAAUUACAAAUGAUGUGCUGUGGCAUAAAGAUGGAUUUUGGUGCACCAAAGGGGCAGGGGGUUUGAAUUUGUAUAUUGUGUCAACAUGGCGAGGAAUGCUUGGUCAGAACUUGAAUUCUUUCAAGUCUGUGGAUUUGGCUAUCUACAUACUCCUGGUUCAAAGGGAUGAACUAUGAAGAGGGUAGUUUGGGAGCAUUGAAAGGUACCAGGGAUGACUCCUUCAGGAGCUAUACCAUUCUCAAAGAGACUGAUUUUGGAGGGUAGCUUUUCAGUUGGGGUUCAGUGCUCUCAGUUGCUGGUGUUAUUAUAGAAAUUUUUUAAUGGUGGGACCCGUGGAGGCAUAGGCUUCUCUAAUGUUCUCAUUGCAUUUGUUAAAUUGUUGUAUUGAUUGAGGAUCAAGGUUACUUGUGGAGAGUGUUAUUUGAACAUUAUUUUUACUUCGCUUACAGCAAAUGAGACAUUCACGAUUAAAUGGUUUGAGUAAGUAUAACGGGAAUGGACCUGCUUCCGAAUAAGUUGUGAUAGUUCUCAAUGAAAUAUUUCUCCAUUGUGUCAUUAGGGGUUUAUGAUUCCCUGGAUUACUACUUGGUGCUAGUGACCUUUUAGGCUGUUUGCAAAUGUGUCCAUACCAUGAGGCAAGAUCAUGAAGUUUACUCAAAAUUGUGGGGAAGUUCAUGUAGUUCCAUCUUUGCUGAAGUGGUUGACCUAGUGGUUGCUGGGGAUAUGUAGAGGGCUUUGGUUGGCCUAUGGGACCCCACUUGGGACACUGGAUGGAAAAGCAUCUGUUUAGGGAAGGAAGUUUCCCCACAUGGAGGGAUGAACUAUAACUCAUGGUUUAGGAUUUCCAUUUACUUCUGUUUGAGUUGUGGCGUUUUUGGAUGUCUGCAACCGUCGUAGAGUGGGGGGCAAGAAGGCAGGUUCUUGCCUUAGGUACUUCAUUUCUACUCAAUGUUCUAUAGUUCUAUUCUUGUGGUACACCACUUUUGUUUGUAAAACAUAUUAUGUUAAGUAGUACAUGGAAAUUCACAAAUAGAGUACUGCAUAUCUAGCAAUUCUUUCAUUUUAUUGUGAAAGCAAGUUCCCUUGGAAUGCAAUAUUACUGCCAUUGCUCACGGGAUAAGUUCUUCUUGGGUAAAGUUCUGCAGUCGCUGCAAAGUAUUCUUUUACCUCUUGUUAGGUUUAUGGUUUACCCACGACAGAUGCCACCCUAGCACUUCAUUUUGCUCAUUAUGUCCAUGUCUAACAUUUGGUACUGCAUGCCACUUGUCAAUAAUAGAAUUUUAUUAUGAUUUUAGUUACUAAUACUAUGAUAAAUUAUGUUUAUGAUAAUUUAUAUGUCUAUUUAAAGUUUACUAUGUAUUGUGACUCGAACUUCUAAAUUUUUUUCUUGUGGACUUAAAAAGAAAUAAAUUUUAUACACAUGAAUGUAAACAAUGUAUUAUACAUUUACAAAACCAUAUCAUGGAACUUAACGAAAAUUUUAUUCAAAAGUAAUACUAUCACAAUAAGUUAUUCUUUGGAUGUAUUUUAUUGUAUUUUAUUUGGAAUAUGAGAAAUACAUAUGAUACCUAGCUUCAUACUUAAUUCAGUUUUAAAAACAUUGCCAUGUUAACAUACUUUGUUGUUGCUGUCUCAUAAACCAACAUCCAUCUUGAUGUCCAUGUCACACUGUUCAAACUUGCAUGCUCAUACUAAUUCUCUUGGUUACAUAGCUAUUGUCAAGCUUAUGAUGCUUAGUUUCAAGCUUCAUGCAACUGUGGAGUUUCACUUUUCAACUCCAGUUCCUUGUUUAGUUCAACAUCCCAAGACCAGACAUAUUAUGCUUUCCAUGUGGUGAGCCAAUUCAUGGUGGCAACUACAAACUGCAUGAGUUUUCUCUCUGUUUCUCUCUUUCUUUUUCUUUGAAUAAAUCUACUGCAUGAGUUUACAACAUCCUUGAAGUGGAUAUUGUGUUUGAUUCCCAUUUCGUGAGCCCCUUCUUAUUGGCAAGUAAGUCUCCAGCAAGUGUUCUCAAAAAAAAGAAGAAGAAAAAGUCAGUUUCCAGCAAGCAUAGUUUUAAAACUCGGCUGAUGCCACUCGGACUUGGCUGAGUAACUCGGCAUUGCCCCCCUAUAGGCGAGGCGAGUUUUGGGCGAACAGACUGUACAACAUUUUAGUAAACGUUAUGUAUCUUAAUAUGUCAAACUUAAGUCAUUCAUGUUUGAAGGGCUUCAUGGUUAGUAUGGGGCGCGUGAACCUCAUUGUAUUGCAAGGUUGAAUCCCGCGAUCGGCUGGUGGAAGCCUAUUUUUAAACUUUUUCGUUUUUGUUUUAUACGAUAGAAGUUAUAAAAAAAUGCAAAGAACCGAACCCUCAAUGUGUUGUAAAGAAGAGGCUCAAUGUCACAACAUAAACUAGGCGCCAUUAGCAGUUUACUGUUCAAAGGAAGCCCACUACUUAUAGCUAUUACAUUUUUUCUUCAUUUUCUUCACAAAAAAAAUUGAGUUGGACUCGGGCGGGUUACUCGACUCGCCUGAGAAAAUCGGCUCGGCCAGGUGCCAAGUACCUUGGCCGAGUCGAUUUGUUUAACAUUGCCAGCAAGUGUUUAUCAGAGGAUCUGUCAUCCAUGUGCAUGGCUAAUCAUGGGUGUUAUUGUCAUCAUCAUAUUCUUUGCCUCCUAUUGCUUAUUCAUAUAUUUUGAUUGAAGAUGGUGCCCUGUUACUUGUCACUCAUGCAAUGUGUCUGUUCAUGUGCAAGUCAUUGUUUUCUUGAAAGAGUAAAACAUAAAGGAUGAGGUUAGCAUGCAACCAAGCCUGCACAUGUACAAAUGCGGGCUUG